AGCGAACAGACGAGGAGCUUGCUCCUCUGACGUUAGCGGCGGACGGGUGAGUAACACGUGGAUAACCUACCUAUAAGACUGGGAUAACUUCGGGAAACCGGAGCUAAUACCGGAUAAUAUAUUGAACCGCAUGGUUCAAUAGUGAAAGACGGUUUUGCUGUCACUUAUAGAUGGAUCCGCGCCGCAUUAGCUAGUUGGUAAGGUAACGGCUUACCAAGGCAACGAUGCGUAGCCGACCUGAGAGGGUGAUCGGCCACACUGGAACUGAGACACGGUCCAGACUCCUACGGGAGGCAGCAGUAGGGAAUCUUCCGCAAUGGGCGAAAGCCUGACGGAGCAACGCCGCGUGAGUGAUGAAGGUCUUCGGAUCGUAAAACUCUGUUAUUAGGGAAGAACAAAUGUGUAAGUAACUAUGCACGUCUUGACGGUACCUAAUCAGAAAGCCACGGCUAACUACGUGCCAGCAGCCGCGGUAAUACGUAGGUGGCAAGCGUUAUCCGGAAUUAUUGGGCGUAAAGCGCGCGUAGGCGGUUUUUUAAGUCUGAUGUGAAAGCCCACGGCUCAACCGUGGAGGGUCAUUGGAAACUGGAAAACUUGAGUGCAGAAGAGGAAAGUGGAAUUCCAUGUGUAGCGGUGAAAUGCGCAGAGAUAUGGRAGAAACMCAGUGGCGAAGGCGACUUUCUGGUCUGUAACCGACGCUGAUGUGCGAAAGCGUGGGGA
rnacentral:rRNA from 1 species